GUUAUUUUUCAAAAUUUAUUUGAUUGACUAUUGAAAACACGCUCUCUAUAAUUUUUUUCAAGAAAAAACUCAAUUUUUAGCAUAAAUUAAAAUAUACCAUAUUUAAACUGUCAAAAACCAUUCCCACUGGAGGAUAAAUAAUAUAUGUUAUCUAACACGUUUUCUCUGUAAUGUUGUCAACAAUAAUAUACGAAAAGACAAAGUAUAUUUAAGAGCCCCCACUAUGCUUGUGUUUCUCUCUCGUCGCAAUAAUUACUUAUUAAAGUACGAGAAAAGACAAAGUACACGUGAGAUAGGAAAACGACUACUCUAACAAUUUAGGUCUCAUUUGGCUGGAGGAUUUGGAGGGGUAUAAUUUUUUUCCCGGAUAACUUUUUUCUCGGAAUGUUUGGCUAGCGGAUAUGCCCCCGGAUAAGUUAUGCCCCCGAAGGUAGAUAAUUUUUGGGUUGCCUAGACCCCUAACUAAAAAUUAUCCGGGGGAUAAGGGAUACCGCCCCCCUCUCUCCCCCGCCCCCCCCUGUCUCCUUUCUCGUCUCCUCUAUCUACAUCUCUCAGCCCUGCCCACUCUUUUUCCUCUAUCCCUCUUUUCUCUUUUCUUUUCUCUCAUUCCUUUUCUUCCUUCCUCCUAACCUACCUUAUCCACUCAUUCUAAAAAAGUAUCCAAAACAAAAGUUAAAAGUUAUCCCAUCCAAAGUUAUCACCUCUAAAAAGUUUCCUCCCCUAAAAAUUAUGCUGCCUCCCUUAUCCUCAGCCAAACGGGCCCUUGGGGUAAGGUAAAUGUUACGUAGUACGUACCCCCACCAAUUGAAAUAACACCGACACCCAUAGUUAUGAAAACGGACGAACCGGCAGGUUCAACCGGUUCAAUCGAAACUGGGCACUAAAUCGGUUCGGACACAACAUUUUAUCGCAUCGGAAAAAUGCAAGCCAACCGGAUUGAACCGGUUUGAAUCGGCCGAUUUUUUUUUUUUAACAGAAAAAAUAAAGUUUUAAUUUUUACAGUUUGACCCAAAAAUUUUAAUUAAAGUUUUACUUUUUACAAUGACCCCAAAAUUUGAAUUAAAUUAUUUUUUUAAUCGUUUUCUAAAUUAAUUUUUACUAUGAAUGGGUAAUAAAAAAAUUUUUUUUUUUUUUAUAAUAAAAAUAUAAUUUUAUUAUAUUAAUUAUAAAUCCGGUUGAACCGUGGUUGUUUGAACCCAAGGGAACCGUGUGAACCAGUAUUUUGACCGGUUCAAUGUCCGGUUCGGUUCUGAUAACUAUGCCGCGACACCCCUUAAUAUCUGAAAAGGGUAAUGCUAUGAGUACAUUCAAUUUACACCCUAAAUGCAUAUUUGAUGAGGUGGAGUAUUUAAAUUGGUUGGGUGUGGGGUCCACACAGUCCUUUCACCCCACACAUAGCCAAUCUAAAUACUUCAUCUCAUCAGGGGUGCAAGUUGGAUGUACCAUAGCAUUUCUCAUAUCUGAAAACGGUAAAUUUUGACUGACCUCGCAUGAUAUUUUUGAAUCAAAAUCCAACACGUGUACAUUAGUCCAAUUCCUAUUUAAUGGGCUAUUGGGGCCAUAGCCCCUGCAUGUUUCCUCUCGCUGCAUCCACAUGGAGACUGAUCUAAUGUCCCUUUCUUAUCUGUCCUUUCUUUCUUUUUUCAUUAAUUCAAAAGAGGUGAUCAGAUGUGGCGCACCCAUUGUAAUACCAUGGGAGCGUCCCUGAGGGCUCACUACAAUCACAUAAUUUUUUUCAAAUUAUGUCUUAUUUAUUUUUGAAAUCACUCAGCCACAAAAUAUGUGGCUGUGGUGAGGCCACGGAGGGCGCUCCCAUGAUAUUAUCACGGACACGCACCUAUCUGAUCACCACUCUUAAUUUAAUGCGAUGCUCGGAAAAGGUACAAUGGAGUCUUACACGAAUCUCGUAAGUGUUUGCAAUAGUUUAUCUCCUUUAAUUCAUAAACCAUAUAUAAUACUUUAUAUACCGAAGGCAUUAUGAAAUCUAAAAUAUUCCUAAAAUUAUAAUUUAGGUUCGAGUCAAAAAAUUCACAACUACGACCUACAAGCUGAUGAGAUACCAACAUACAUACACCACAAUCAUAUGGUCCUCACUGAUCUCUCUUCUCGACGCCUACACAUGCAUUAUAUGCGCAUAAAAUAUUUGAAGUGUUAAACUAAUCCCAUAUCAAAUAGUUUUGGGAAUACUCCACCUCAUGCUAAUGAUCUUUACUUUACAAUAACAAUUUGUACUACUACAAACAAUUCGCCUUGCUAGAUGCAUUAAAUUGAACUUUCAAGUUCCAAAUUUCUAUUUUGGGAAUUAAAAAGCUUUUUUAAUUGUGCUAUCUGAAAUGACCUUUGGUUUUAACACAUGUAAUAAUUAAAAAAUAUCUUAGCUUUAUCGCCAAAUAUGUGUGUUGAUGAUAUUAUCUAGGGGUGUCUGAAAAUUUAAAAAAAAAACGAUAAAUCAGAUCAAACCAAAUUGGAUCGAACCGUAUGGCUGGUGUGGUCCGGUUCUACGAUUUAGAUUGUUUCAAUACUAAUUUUAAAAAAUAUUAAAUUGGUCUAUAUAGUUCAGUCUUAGUUCUUUAUUUCAGAAUUGUGGUUCAAAAUAAACUGGGCCUGUUUUGUUAAGAACAGAGUUCUGUAACUGGAAUUGAUAUUGCUGAUAGCUGGAAGAAGAAAGAAGAAAAUAGAUUUCCCUAUUCGAGCUAGGGAUAAAGCUCUUAAAAGAACCAAGUAAAGACGGAAUUUUUCAUUCCCUUCUGAAUCAAUGUUACAUUCUUUAUAUUGCUGGACGUUUGACAAGAAUUCAAGGAAUGAUAUCUAACAGUUUUAAACACUAACUGAAUUAACCCAUUCUUGAUAUUGCCCAUGCUUCAGUUAUCUGUUAGCAUAGUUAUUUUGCCAUGCUUUACAUCAUGUUCCUGUCUUUUAAGUCUUAAUCUUUCAUUCAUUCUGGCCUUUUGAUACUCCUUCUUGUUCUAUCAUCCGCUACAAAGCUGUUCUCUCCUACUACCACUGCAUUCGUAACAUGUUUACGUACAUACAUAGCGUGUAUGUGUAAGUUAAACCCAUCCUAACCUUCCUAAUUUAUUUUAUAUUGAGGUAUCAUUACUUAUUGUUUGAUGUUGUAUGAAUUUUUUGGGUUUUCGAUUUUUGCGGUUGUUAUGCUUAGUUUUUUCUAAAGUGGAAUGUUGUCAUGUUAUUUUAAAAUGUAGAUAGUUUAGAAUUUAAAUGUCAGGUAUAAAAUUUAGGAUGUUUGCCUGUGGCAUUUAUUCCAUUCGUCUCAUAGAACUUUUGUUAUUUUAGUUUGGAAUGUCCGAAAAUGUAUAUUCAAUUCGACAGUUAAUAACGAAAAUAUACAACUUUUCUCUUUUAGCCUUUUUUUUAUAAAUUAUUUAAGUAAUAUCAACCAAAACAAAAAAUUAAAUGUAAUAAUUACAGGGAUAAAAUUGGAGAGUCAAUAAAAAUUAAAUGUAAUAAUUAUAUUCCCUUAAAAAGGUUAACUCCCCGAAAUCACACUUCCGUUUGAGGUGGACGGAGUAGAUGUUAAAACUUGAAUGUUAUGUUUUGUUUAUACUGUGUUUAUGUUAUCGGUCUUAACAAUGAGGAUGAUAUUUUUGUCACACAUUAAUCUAAUAAUUAAUUCAAAAAAAAUAGAGAAAAGUUUGGGGACCUCGCAUAGAAUUAAAAGUGCGAGAAAAAAAUUGCAAUGUUUAGAGUAAAUUUCAAAAUAGUCCCUAUAAUUUUUUUUAACAUUGAUUUUGGUUCUUAUAUUUUUAAAUCCCAUGAUUUUAACCUUGUAUUUUAAUUUACAUGCCUAAUCAAUUUAAUUGAUAACCAAAGUUAAGUUGUUGGACAUAUUUUCAAUACAUUUUGAACAUAUGACUUCAUUUGAUGGCAAUUUAUAGUUGGAUUUAUCAAAUUAUAAUAGAAUUUAAGCAAUUUACAGUGAGAAUAGGAAAAAAGUUGAUUUUAUCACUCAAAUGAUGGUACAUGUCGGCCAAUAGUGAAAAUUCAUCCAAAAACAUAACAUUCAUGACCAAUUGGCUUAAUUAGGUGAGAAAAUCAAAAUAUAAAAUUAAAACCGCGGAAUUUUAAAAUACAUGGAUCAAAAUCUUGAAUGAAUAAAACUACAAUGACCGUUUUUGAAAUUUAAUCAUAUUUUAAGAUUCAAUUUGACGAAAUGUUUUUUUCAAAAUUUAUUUGGUUGAUGAUUGAGAACAUGCUCUCUAUGAAUUUCUCGAGAAAAACUCAUUUAUUAGCAAAAAUUAAAAUAGUAUUUAGUGACGGCAUAUAGAAUUAAGAGGGUGAGAGAAAAAAUGGCAAUGUUUAAUAAAUAUUUAUAAAAUUAUUUUAAUAUUUUUAAAAUUACUUUUGCAAAAUAAUUUUUAAAAAUUUAUUUGGUCGACGGUUUAAAACGUACUCUCUUUGAAUUUGUCGGGGGAAAAAAAUCUCAUUUUUGGAUAAAAUUAGAAGGGUAUAUUUAAGUUCUCAAAAACUAUUUCUGCUAAAAGAUAAAUACUGUAUGGUAUUUAAAAUAAGCUGUAUCAUUUAAGCUGUCUAUGAUACAUUUUUAAAUGUUUAGUUGGCUCUAGAGAAGGUGGGUGCUGAUGGAAGAAUUGAGGUGUAUUUAGGAGCUCUCACUAUGGUUGGGCCAAGGAGAACCCCAAAAGAUGACUUUUCUUUAAUACAAACUUGCCCGAAAAUGAAAUUACAAAGGACACCAACCACAUAAUUAAAAUAAAAAAGUUUCUCUUGACGCCUCUCUCCUGACUGACCAAGUUGUUGCAACUACUACUCAUGAUUUUCUCCUGAUAUUAUAUUUAACUUAUAUAGGAAUAAAGUAUAGAAUUAAAAAAAUUUCAAAAUACCAAGAUUUGUUUUUAUCCCUCAAAUGACGAUUCAUGUCAAAAAAAAGUGAAAAUCUAUCCCAAAAUAUAACAUUCAUUAUCAAUUGGAUUAAUGAGGCGAUAAAAUAAAAAUAUAAGUUAAAAUCGCAAAAUUAAAAAAUA
rnacentral:lncRNA from 1 species